CCUACGGGAGGCAGCAGUGAGGAAUAUUGGUCAAUGGACGCGAGUCUGAACCAGCCAAGUAGCGUGAAGGAUGACUGCCCUACGGGUUGUAAACUUCUUUUAUAUGGGAAUAAAAUGUUCCACGUGUGGGUUUUUGUAUGUACCUUAUGAAUAAGGAUCGGCUAACUCCGUGCCAGCAGCCGCGGUAAUACGGAGGAUCCGAGCGUUAUCCGGAUUUAUUGGGUUUAAAGGGAGCGUAGGUGGAUUGUUAAGUCAGUUGUGAAAGUUUGCGGCUCAACCGUAAAAUUGCAGUUGAUACUGGCAGUCUUGAGUACAGUAGAGGUAGGCGGAAUUCGUGGUGUAGCGGUGAAAUGCUUAGAUAUCACGAAGAACUCCGAUUGCGAAGGCAGCUCACUGAACUGCAACUGACACUGAUGCUCGAAAGUGUGGGUAUCAAACAGGAUUAGAUACCCCUGUAGUC
rnacentral:rRNA from 1 species